rnacentral:rRNA from 1 species
GACGAACGCUGGCGGCGUGCUUAACACAUGCAAGUCGAACGGAAAGGCCCUGCUUUUGUGGGGUGCUCGAGUGGCGAACGGGUGAGUAACACGUGAGUAACCUGCCCUUGACUUUGGGAUAACUUCAGGAAACUGGGGCUAAUACCGGAUAGGAGCUCCUGCUGCAUGGUGGGGGUUGGAAAGUUUCGGCGGUUGGGGAUGGACUCGCGGCUUAUCAGCUUGUUGGUGGGGUAGUGGCUUACCAAGGCUUUGACGGGUAGCCGGCCUGAGAGGGUGACCGGCCACAUUGGGACUGAGAUACGGCCCAGACUCCUACGGGAGGCAGCAGUGGGGAGUAUUGCACAAUGGGCGGAAGCCUGAUGCGGCAACGCCGCGUGCGGGAUGACGGCCUUCGGGUUGUAAACCGCUUUCGCCUGUGACGAAGCGUGAGUGACGGUAAUGGGUAAAGAAGCACCGGCUAACUACGUG